GGGUCGCUAGCUCAGUGGUAGAGCACCUGACUUUUAAUCAGGGUGUCCUGGGUUCGAUCCCCAGGCGACCCACCA
rnacentral:tRNA from 1 species